GCGCGCGCGGAGGUGGCGCGCACGCGCACUCGCGGGCCCGGCGCCCCGGGCGCCCCGUGGAGUUUGGCUGCGGGGCCGCGGGCGUGGUGCCCUCUCCCGGCUUGGCCGGGCUGGUGAGACCGGGAAAGAGGUGUGAACGGUGCCUCUUUGUCCUCAAGGGUCAAAGAUUCGUCAAGAACCUAACUAGUUUUAGCCGGGCGGCAAUCUCUCCCAGUGCUGAACACCUAGUGCGGACCAGGCACUUCAUCUGCCUAUCUCUGGUCUUCCAGACUACCCUGUGAAGUUUUAUCCACGGCAGCCAUGAGGCCUAGAAGUACGCACAGAUAAGACCUGGUUUACUGAUAGCACAUUACAAAACGUACCAAGUAAUCGUCCAUCCAGACUCUCCUGCCCUAUAAAUCAUACGAUCCGAUUUCACAGAAGAAAGAACUGAGGUUCAGAGAUGGGAAAAGUCUGCCUCAGGGGCUCCCAGCUAGGAGGCAACAGGGUGAGGACUAGUGUGCGGGCAUUUCUGACUCCAAAGCCAGGGUGUCUUGUCCCCGCCCCAAUCUGCUGUCAGGUAAAAGAUGGCAGGACUUGCCGAGGGAGCUGAAGGGUGACGGCUGGAGGGGCCGAUCCCCAAUGAUGAGCGAGGUAACAGUUCUCACAGUGGCUAAACAAAGAGCCCUUGCAGUCCGGCUGCCUGGGUUCGAGUCUUGUUCUGUCCCUUCUUAGUUCUGUGCCCUCAGGCAAGCCACUGGUCCUCCCUGAGCCUCAGUUUCCUCGUCUGUAAAAUGGGGAUGGUAACAAUGUUGCCCACCUCGUCGUGUUGUUGGAGGGUUAAAUUAGAAGCGUGUGGCACUAAAUUAGAAGCGUGUGGCAAGCACAGUGAAAGUCUUGCCUCUUAUUUGCUGGCACCUUGUAUGACAUUUGGUAGAGGCCUCCUGUCUCGUCUACUAUUAAUACUGCCUUUAUAGCACUGCGUGUUCCGGAGCCUGGCCACCUGGGCUCUGCCACUUGCUAGCUGUGUGGUCUAGAGCUUAGAGGGAGACUGAAGGUCAGGCUCAUGAAGUUUAAGCCUUGGGUCGCUCCCUUGCGAGGCCUUGUGCAUCAUUUUGUAUUCAUAAUUUCCUAUUAUUUUUCUGAACGGGGUUCCCCAGUGUGGUAUACGCUCUACUCACAUCCUGCAAAAUGUGGAUCCGCCCCUGUGUGCGCAACACGCUCGGCCUCUCCGGUGCCUCGGUUUUCUCAUCUGUUAAGUGGAAAGAGUGUUACGGUGCUGAUGAAGUGAAUGAAUCCGUUUAGGACGCUUGAAAAGUGCCUGGCACGUUGUUAAUUCCCCGAUAGCUGUCGGCUUCUCAAGUAAAUCUCCAGCUAGUGAAUAUGCUAAGUGCUAGUAAAUGUGCUUCGUGGUUUACAUUGGCCAUGUUAUUUAAUUAUGCUUAAUUGUCACAACAACCCCUCCCAUUUUACAGGUGAGAAAACAGAGGCUCGGAGAGGUGAGGUCACAGAGCUUGGAAGCCCCAUGGGUCUGAUGCCAGGGCCAUGCCCCUUAACUAUUGCCCUGAUACCUCCCUGUUUAUGAGGGGCGCCUGGCAGCUGAACCUGAAGGACUCGGGUCACACCGCAGCCAGGCACUGCCUGCCAGGCCACUUGCAGGGAAUCCAUGAGGCCCCUGCCGGGGAAGAGCUCCCCGUCCCCCCCAAGUCCAGCUGGGCCCCCCUGGCUCUGCCACACCUAGUGCCCUCGUCCCUCCUGCCCCCUAGAGCUUCCUCUUGAGCCCCUGUCACCAGAGGCCCUGGCCCAGGUGGGGCGGGGGCCAACGGGUGACAAUGACCGAUUUAGAAAGUAAAGUUGCUUCUCAAACAAAUAAGAAAGAAGAGGAAAGAAAGAAAUGGCCUGCCCGCUUCCUGCCCCACUCUCUCUCCCAGCACCUGGGGCCCAGCUGUGAGCUUUUCACUGCUUGUUUGUUCAUCCUGCUCGAGGAGCCUCUUCUUAAAGCUCCAGGCCCCCUCCACGGGGGCGGCGGGAUGACUGUGGAGCCAAUGGAAAUAAGCACCCUCCAUGAUUGUUGUAUUGUCGCCGUCUAGAGUAUUGUUUUGGACAACAAUACCAAUCAUCAUAACAAUCUGGGUUUCCUGCAGUUGGCGGAGGGGGGGUUAUCGGCUUCGACUUGGGUGUGGCCAUCCUGGCUGCGAUUUCUGAGGUGUGAAGGCCUGUGCAGGUCAUUAGCUCUCUCUGGGCCUCCGUUUCCUUGCCUGCAAAGUGGGAAUGGGGGCAUGGUGAGCGCCGGAGGAGGCAAGCAAGAGCGCGUACCACACAGGGCACGGCCGCUGCUCAGUCGGUUACCAAAGCCAGGGUCACCCAAGAGCACGACUUUAAGAGCCUCCCCAGACGUGGUGGGAAAACUCGGUGGACUAGGAGGGGGUGAUAACGCCUGUUGUGUUCUAGCCUCUGUUGUAAGGGCUUUAUGUACAAUAACUCACUUCAUCCUCACCACGCCGCGUGCGUGCAUACUGUCAGAUGAAGACACCCAAGAGUGAUUUGCCCAAGGUCAGUGCAUCCGGCAGGUGCAGAGCCAGGACGAACCCAGCCUGUCCCGCUCCAAAACAGCGCUCUUCUUAGGGGCAUACGCUGCCCUGGGGGCAGGUCUGGCUGCAUAGGGUCUGCUUUGCUGCGUCACCGUGGACAAGCCCUUUCCUUCUCAACCUCAGUUCUUGAUCUGCAAGCUGAACAGCCCACGGUACCUGCCUCCAGACAGCAUACAGCCUGCAGGGAAAAGUCAUGGUCAGAUUUAGUGACAGUGUAGAGAAAGACAAUGGAUGAACAUAUCAGGGGCUCUGGAAGCCACGGCUGCCGCUGCCAUAAUUAUUAUUAGUUUUAGAGUCACAGGCGAGAGUCAGCCUAGAGGAUGCUGAGGGCGCUGCCCAGCUCUGCAAAUCUAAAUCCUGUGGUUGCAGCUGGGGAGUGACUCUAGGAGGCACCUGGUGAGAGGUGGCUCUACCGGUUGGGGCUAAAAUAAUCCCUGAGGCUGCCACCAUGCAAUCUGUCACUCGCCUGCCCUAAUUAAUGGCAAACUCACCAACCCUGCCUCUCUGCCUCACUCCCAUCCCCCAGGAGCUGUGUGGCCCUGGAGAAAUCACUCGACCUCUCUGAGACAGGAAAAGGACAUGACCCUGCAGAAUUUUGAUGGAUUAGAAAUAAUGCAGACAGAGUACUCAGCACAGUGCCUGAUGUGUGGUUGAGAAGAGGUGAUGAGAACCUGAGUUUGGGGGCCGACCCGUGUUCCAUUCCCGGCUACACCAUUUCCUACUGUGUACCCUCGGGCAAGUUCCUUGCACUCUCUGAGCCUGGGAAAUGGGUUAGCACAGCACCCGGCAUACAGUAGUUGUUUACCUAACGAUUGUGGUUGGUGGUGACCGUGUCUGGCCCUCUAUAAAGAUGUCCAGAGGCCUUCAAAGAUCCCAGGGGUAUAAUGUUCUCCACAGUGCUGGGUUUCUCUGUUUGCCCCUCUAGAACUCCCCUCUGCCCUUCUCCAUCCUGUUCUGUGCCCUGGCAGGUGAACUCUGGGGUGCCAUCCAUGGCCUCUUUUGCCCUCUGGUUCUGGUUGGGUGGGGCAGGAAGGCAGAGGGCAGGUGGAGAAUGGGGCAUAGUGAUUCCCCCAGCCCCUUGCUACAGGGUUGCACGGGUUGGCUGUGUCCCUGGCCCAAAGGCUCUGGCUCCUGGUAGGCGACCCUGUGCAUCCAUCUCUGGCCCUGAGUCCGGGUCGCUUCUCCCUCUUCACCCUUCAGGCCGUGGGUGGUAACGGCUCCCCACUGUGGCCAGCCCUGGAAUGCUGCACCAUCCCUCCAGGUCUCCCUGAAUCCUGCCUGCGUCUUUGGUAAUAGUCUCUUGAUUAAACCCUCUUCAAACUUCUCAACUUGAGUGUACCGUCUGUUUCCUGCCAAGGCCCUGCUCAUGGUUUUAGUGUGACAUGUAUCCUGUUGUAUUCGUCAAGGACUCCAGGUAGAAUACAAAACUUCACCCUGCUUUCACACGUACAUACGUAUCCACUUGAGUAACUUUGGCUGAGUAUCUGCUGUGCGCCAGGCCCUGUACAGGCAGCUGGGAGCAGAGAUAACCGAGCUAGAGCUCCUGACCCCAAGGAGUUCAUGGACUAGGUGGGGAGACAGACGCCUAAACAGACAACCACAAUAUUUGCUAAGAAGCCGUCAUAGAAGCGUAUACAAACCCUGAGGCAAGAGAAACCCUCAAACUCUGAGGGAGGCUGGGAAGGCUGCAUAGCAGAGGGACCUCCUCAAAGGUAAAAAAAAAUUCUUAAUAACAUAUUUUAUCUAACCCAAUAUUUCAAGGUAUUAUCAAUGUACAAUAUCACUUAAAAGUGAUACAAAAAUCCUUAAGAAUUUUAACAUUUUUUCCCCUAAGUCUUAAACAGCCCAGUGCGUCUUUUACAUGCACGGCACAUCUCCGCUUGGCCGGUCCCCAUUUCAGGGGCUCAGGAGCCACAGGGGGCUGUUUCCCCCCACUUUACAGAUGAGGAAGCAGAGACUCAGGGGUUAAGUCACUUGUCCGAGGUCCCACUCCCCGAUGGCGGCAUGAUGUGAACCCACGUCUCUGUAGCUCCAAAGCCUGUCUCUUCCCGCUGCCCUGUUCUGUCUCUGGGCCAACCCCUGCUCCCCAGAGUGAAGACUUGGCCGAGGGCUAAAAAGUUAAAACUUCACCUGAGGUGAACUUCACCUCUGACCCCAAAUCCUGUAAUGUUUCUACGUCGGUUGAGUCCAUGGGACAGAGUGGGGGAGGGUAACCCACCAAACUGGGUUCUGACCCCUGUUCGGUCUAGGGUCCCUGGGAGGGCGUGAAGAUAGGCUGGCAGGAGAGAACUGGGGACCACUGGUGAGUUGUAAGAGUCUCUUGCCGGGGGAGCUGUUAAUGGCUGGAAGGCACGGCCUGUGUUGGACGGGAGGUCUGCAGAGGUAACAGACUAGGCACCCUGGACGGUGCCAGCAGGUCAACUUGGCAUCUUCGCCUCCACCACCCUCAGCGGUUCCUCCCUAGGCAAAACACCGUAUCAUCCAGAAACACCCACUCCUGAGUAUGUAGGGUCACAGUGAAUAAGUCACUGUCAUUUUCACACCGAUGCGGGGGAAAUUUCGAUGGGAUGAAAAGGUAAGGCCUUCUUCUUCUUUUUUUUUAAAUAUUUAUUUAUUUUUGAGAGACAGAGACAGAGCGUGAGUCGGGGAGAGGCAGAGAGAGAGGGAGACACAGAAUCCGAAGCAGGAUCCAGGCUCCGAGCUGUCAGCACAGGGCCCGACGCGGGACUCGAACCCACGAACUGUGAGAUCAUGACCUGAGCCCAAGUCGGAUGCUUAUCCGACUGAGCCACCCAGGCAGCCCGGUAAGGCCUUGUGAUGGGCAGUUUAUCCAGGCUCUCGUGUGGAGAGAGUCCUGGGAGGAUUCUUAGACCCACGUCCGUGCUUUGGAGGGGAAACCAGAGCCAUGGAACGUUGGCUGCAAGUAGGGGAGGUCCCUGGCAAGCCCGGGGGGUGUGUCUGGUGACCCCGGGGAUGUGUGUGACGCUAAAAACCAUGAUCAGUAGCUGAGUAUUCAACACCCACCAAUUCACUUUCACCAGCUGUCCACCUGCCGGUAGAAUCAUCAUCCAACCAUCCAUCCGUCCACUGUCCACUCCUCCAGCGCCCAUCUCCCAAUUCCCUCAUUCCCCCCCCCUCCCCAUUCACUCACUUCUCCCCAGUCCUGUCGCUGCCCCCCCCCCCCCCCAUCCCUCGCCACUGACUCUGCACCUGGUCCGGUGCUGGAUGCUCAGCGUGCAACAAGUAAGACUGCGAUCUUCCUUCAAACCCAGUGAGGCAGGCAGACGCUUCGUCUACGCGAGGGAGGUGAAUGUGGUGGUGGAGGGUUCUAGGAGGUCUGAGGUUUCAGACCUGGAAGACCUAGACAGGCAUCAGAGCUAGUCCCGCGAUGCUGAGUCUGGGAAACCGAGGUCUAGAGAGGAGAUGAGACAUGCCAGGUCAGAGAGUCGUGGGGGGGCGGGGGUGAGCUCAGGUCUCACUCCCAUUUCCCUGCUCUUUCCGCCAGACUCUAGGCCCCACUUCCCCAUCCAUACUCGGCAACACUGGAGGCCAAACACUCUCACCCCCUUAGUGCCUGGCACGGCCCUGGGCCUGGGGAAGGGGACCUUCCCUGUUGCCACGGCACGCCUGCGCUGUCCCCACGGACAAUCAGAUUGCUAGAGCUUUCUCAUGCUCUUCCCAUCGUCCCACGGAAAACCCACCACAGUUCGGGAGGACUGGCAUCACCACCCCUUUUUACAGAAAACGGGGCUCAGAGGGGGGAAGGGGCCUGCCUAGAGUCACACAGCUCGAGUGCAGCGGAGCCAGCGUCCUGAGUCACCAUUCUGAACCUGAUUUGAGACACCAGGCGGCACCUCACAUAGCCUUGAAUGUUCUGGCCCCAGGCCGAUGUUGCGCCAUUGAAGUCAGGGGCUGCCGACAGGUAGGUUCGGCAGGGACGGGAACGUUGGGGGAAGGACCCUGAAAAGGAAACCCCGGAGAUUGUUUUCACCUGGAAGGGCUCCGCCCCGCCCAGCAAUGGAAAAAGUGUGUCAGAGGAAGCCGCUGGCUGGGGAUGGGACAGAUGGGCCGACUGUCCCAUGAAAGCUGUCCCCACGCCCUACCUCCCAGAUCCCCUUGGCCAAUUCGCUCUGCUCGGUAGUUACCGCAGCAAGCAUUUAUUGAGCACCUGCUGCAUGCUCAGAUGCAGGGGUGCAGGAUGGCCUCUUCCCUGCCCAGAGAAGUGCACAACCUGGUGAAGACAGAAAUAUGACGAGACAGGGCCAUUGUGACAAGGUACCGCAAAGCCGGGGUUACGAUAACGCGGACUUAUUCACUCUCUGUUCUGGAGGUUCGAGGAUUGAAAUCGAGAACUCAUUCAUUGUUGCAUCCCCAAGGGGCAGGCACUUAGCGAUGCUCCAUAAAUCGUUGUUAAAUAGAUCAAGAGAUGACCAACCGAGUCCUGUAACGAUGUCAUUCACACCCCGUGCUCUGCAAUCUGCUUCCUUGACAGAACAAAAGGAGUCUCCAGCAGCAGAGGAUUGUAAACCUCCAGCCCUGAAUGGGAAAACAGAAGCUCAGAAAUGCCGCGGUCACCCACACACAUCAAUCCAGAGUUUUACCAGCGGAGUUCAAUAGACCUGCAGAUUCAUGGAGCCCGAAGACUUAGUCAUUCAAAUAUGUAUUGAGCACCUAUUAUGUGUCUGACACUGUGCUAGAAGCUGGGGCAUCACAACAACUAAAGGCUCAGAGACUCGGGGCGCCUGGGUGGCUCAGUGGUUAAGCGUCUGACUUCGGCUCAGGUCAUGAUCUCAUGGUCUGUGAGUUCAAGCCCUGUGUCAGGCUCUGUGCUGUCAGGGCAGAGCCUGCUUCAA